rnacentral:rRNA from 1 species
GACGAACGCUGGCGGCGUGCCUAAUACAUGCAAGUCGAACGCAGUGGGGACGGGUGAGUAACACGUGGGUAACCUCCCAUCAGAGGGGAUAACACUUGGAAACAGGUGCUAAACCGAUACUGAUGGAUGGACCCGCGGUGCAUUAGCUAGUGGGUGAGGUAACGGCUCACCAAGGCCACGAUGCAUAGCGGACCUGGGAGAGGGAUCGGCAACACUGGGACUAAGACACGGCCCGGACUCCUAGGGGAGGCAGAAGUAGGGAAUCUUCGGCAAUGGACAAAAGUCUGACCGAGCAACGCCGCGUGAGUGAGGAGGGUUUUCGGUUCGUAAGACUCUGUUGUUAGAUAAGCGGUAUCUAACCAGAAAGCCACGGCUAACUACGUGCCAGCAGCCGCGGUAAUUC